rnacentral:rRNA from 1 species
UGCCCUAAAGUCUGGGAUACGCACUUGGAAACAGGUGCUAAUACCGGAUAACAACAAUAGCUGCAUGGCUAUUGCUUAAAAGGCGGCGAAAGCUGUCGCUAAAGGAUGGACCCGCGGUGCAUUAGCUAGUUGGUAAGGUAAUGGCUUACCAAGGCGACGAUGCAUAGCCGAGUUGAGAGACUGAUCGGCCACAUUGGGACUGAGACACGGCCCAAACUCCUACGGGAGGCAGCAGUAGGGAAUCUUCCACAAUGGGCGAAAGCCUGAUGGAGCAACGCCGCGUGAGUGAAGAAGGUUUUCGGAUCGUAAAGCUCUGUUGUUGGUGAAGAAGGAUAGAGGUAGUAACUGGCCCCUAUUUGACGGUAAUCAACCAGAAAGUCACGGCUAACUACGUGCCAGCAGCCGCGGUAAUACGUAGGUGGCAAGCGUUGUCCGGAUUUAUUGGGCGUAAAGCGAGCGCAGGCGGAAAGAUAAGUCUGAUGUGAAAGCCCCCGGCUUAACCGAGGAAUUGCAUCGGAAACUGUGUUUCUUGAGUGCAGAAGAGGAGAGUGGAACUCCAUGUGUAGCGGUGGAAUGCGUAGAUAUAUGGAAGAACACCAGUGGCGAAGGCGGCUCUCUGGUCUGUAACUGACGCUGAGGCUCGAAAGCAUGGGUAGCGAACGGGAU